UGUUGCUUACAGUUGACGAGGGACAGAUUGUUGGUCACAGUGAAGUGACAGGGAAGGAUGUUGUGAGAUGUACGCUGUCAUCGUGUGACGAGCAUGUGUUGAGUGAUGUCUAGGUAGAGCAGAGCAGUCAAUGUCUCGUUCUGUUUGGCAUACCGUGUAUCGUCACAUUUACGCUGAUUGUUGUGCACUGUAAAGGGAUAUCAGGGGAGCUUCAGUUCCACAACUUUCAAGAUGAACGUUUACUGGAUACCCACAAUCCUCCUCUCCCUCUGCCUCUCCAGUGCUGCCAACAUGAUAAGCUCCCACAACUGUAAAGAGCGACUACAUGAGCACCAAACCCAGAGCUCCACUCAGGGGGCCUAGGAAGAAGCAGGGGGUCCAGCAUCCAAUCCGAAUGGGACGAUACUGACCACAGUCAUCCUCAGAUCACAAUCCUUCUCAUACAAACGCUAAACGAGAAUUGAGCCUUAAUUUGCCUUUGAGAGCUGACUGCUGAAACACACCAAGUUCUUUAAGUAAGCCUGUUCUUUUAGUCACGUGGUAUACAUCUAAUUGUACAACUGAUUGUGUGUAAAUAAAGAUUGAGUUAUCUUAUAAAUGUGAA